CAUUGUUUCUGAAGAUGGUCUGCGUAAAAAGAUAGCCAGAGAUUUCAUGCCAUUGACUCACAGAAAGCCUAUUACUGUUCUCUCUGUGGAGUCCAUCAUCCCUAACGGAAGAUCCCUGAUAUUUUGGAUACACCUCCAAGGGCCUUGUAUUAGGCAUUGUGAAGGAAAGAAAUGCACGGAAAAUCUCAUAGAGGCUGAUAAAUCAAGGAUAAUGCCUAAGGUUCCGUUUGUCAAAUGUGUGUGA
rnacentral:lncRNA from 1 species